GAGGGAUCAUUUAUGGUAAAAAGGUGAAAGCCUUUUACCAAAUCCAACUCUGUGCAAUGGAGCACACGGCUCGUGCAUCGAUGAAGCCCGCGGCAAAAGCGAUAUGUAAUGAGAUUCGUUAGCCUCGCGAUUCAUCAAAUUGGUGAACACAUACUGGACCUCUUCGGAGGUACUUGCGUUAGAGUGCUAGUUUUAUAUCAAUUGAUCCCGAUAAAAGGUGUUUUAAUCUUUAGGUUAUUACGCCCGAGUCGGAGAAGCCGGUUUCUCUUUGAGAAUCCGGAUUGUCCUCUGAGUUAUUAUUUUGAUUUAUUGAGAUUAGACAUACAGUAAGCCAUGCUGACCUAUGAACUGCGAUUACGCCCUUCUAAUCACUAUUCAAUAAAGCGCUACGUAACUCUUGGCAAUCAUCCCUUUUUAUAACUGGCCUCUAAAUGUGAGAGGGUACCCCCUGGAUUUAAGCAUAUUAAUAAGGGGAGGAAAAGAAAUCAACAGAGAUUCUCCUAGUACCUGCGAGGGAAAAGAGAAAAGCCCAUCCUGAAUCUAAGGUUUUGCCUUGGAGUUGUAGGGUGCGGAUGCUAUUCCUUGAAUUGAGAACCGUGAAAUUACCUGUAAAGGUAUUCACAAGUGAAUCCAUAGAGGGUGUUAGGCCCGUUAGCGUUUCAUUCAAUUUUGUAAGGAAUGGUAUCUACGAGUAGGAUUGUUUGAUAGUACAAUCUGAAUAUAGGGGAUAAACUUCCUCUAAGGCUAAAUAUAAUGCACGAGACCGUUAGUAAACAAGUACCGUGAGGGAACGUUGAAAAGUACUCUGGUAAGAGGGUGAAAAGAGUGUGAAAUUGCAUAGAUUUAAGCGUAACCAAGUAUCGACUCCUGUAGUGUUCUCUUUUGGUUCAUUAUAGGUAUCCAACAACUCUGUUCUUGUCUUUUGACGAGGAUUGGGCUACACAUGCUAAGAAUGCCGUUGUAGAUGCGUUCUAAAGAUAAAAGUCUUUUUGCUGUGUUCUCGCUUCACGGCUUGGAUGCGGUACCGGGGCUCGAGUCUUUAGGAUGUGUCGCAAACUAUCGGUCUUUAGUAUAUUGUUGGUAUGGUAUUUGGGAACGUCCCGUCUUGAAACACGGACCAAGGAGUCUAGCAUAUCUGCAAGCCGUAGCAAUUUUAAUUGUGAAGGCGUAAUGAAAGUGUAUUGUGUUAACAGCACAAACCGGGCCUUUCGGUCUGAGUUAGAGUAAAUAUGCUAGUACCCGAAGGUGAUGAACUAUGCCCGGACUGGUUGAAGCCAGGAGAAAUCCUGAUGGAGGACCUCCCGCCGUGCUGACGUGCAAAUCGCUCGUCCGAGCUGGGUAUAGGAGCGAAAGACUCAUCGAAUCGCCUAGUAGCUGGUUCCUGC
rnacentral:misc_RNA from 1 species